rnacentral:lncRNA from 10 species
UCCGCCUGCCUUAGCCUCCCAAAGUGCUGGGAUUACAGGCCUGAGCCACUACACCUGGCCUGUUUAUGGAAUGUAAUAUUGAUUUUCUCGGCUGUAGUUUAGCCUGCUCCUUCAUGAAGCAGCGUCUUCCUUCUGUCUUUGCCUGUUUUUUGUUAGCACACAGAUUGAGAAGUGACAUCAUCAGUGCAAUUAAGUACCUACAGGGGUAAGCACAUUGAGUCAUACGCCGUGGAGGGAAUAUAAAGAAAAGUAUGGUCCCUGGUGUUAGGGGCUUAGAAUCUAGCGAUGUCAGUAGGCACUAUGGAACAACAGGAAAGGACAUUUUCUGUUGAACCCUUCAGGGGAUGGGACCCUCUCGGGGAAGUAAAGGCUGUUUCCAUCUGCUGAAAUGUGACAAAAGGCGGGAAGCAUGGAAGAAUGUGGGGAGCUCCCUAGUGAGAGCUGUACUGAGUAAUAUGUGGCUGGAGGGAAGGGAAGAAAAGUAAAGUUGGAAUAUGUAGGUUGAUAACCAGGUUGUAGGGCCCUUGAAUGUCAAAGUUCAAGUGGCUUUUUUAACAAGCAGGUUUCUAAGGGCAACGUGGUGGUCUACAGAUGACAGCCUGGAGAAAG